GUGCUUACUUUGGCAGCAUACAUGCUAAAGUGAGAACUGUGCAGAGAAGAUGAGCACGGCCCCUGUGCCAGGAUGACACGCCAGGUCACAAAGCAGUCCAUAUUUUU
ensembl:snRNA U6 U6 spliceosomal RNA